AUACAGUGCAUCAGAAGGGACAGUACACACCAUCUUUCAUUCCCACCAUUCUUUGUGAAGAGGAAUCCAAAUGUUCUUUGGCCUGAUCGAGUUCUUAUGGGUGCCUUGAGCCAUCCUAGGAGGCAUCCCAAGUAACAACAUUAAGAACGUAUAAAUGUUUGAACUGUGCAGACUUCUUGUUGUGAGAAAAAAAGCCUGCAGCCAAUGAGAUAGAAAUGGAGAGAAGGGCAAUAGCAGCUUGCACACGUCAAGGAUCUGCAGCGCAUGAAACCCCUUAAACUGAAGAUGAUGUUCCUGAAGCCUAGAGAUGUCAGCACUCGCAGUCAGCCGCUUUAUCAUCCAUUGCUCCAUUAACCUCAUCCACCUGGUCAACACAAUUCAAACAUACCAGAUACAGACUCAGUUAAAACAGAUAUGGGUGCAAGUCAUGACACUUUUACAGAUUAAAGAUGUCCGAGAUUCACGAUGAAUGCUGUUUGAAGAAGAAUGAACAGAAUCACAUUUUAAUUUAAUCUCACUGCCAAUGUGGACUUAAAGAGGACGGGCUCUGUUAUGACAACUGUAUUUUUAAGUAACAGAGAUAAGGGUGUUAUUGGAAUCAUUUCAAUAAAAUAUGGGAGUACCGGUACAUACCAGUUUGAUAUCUUGAUUAGACUGGGACUUAAACUUAAACAACAACGAUAGAUAUUGGACCUCUCUAAUACACAUUAUAAACAUCUCAUGUCUUAAGUCAAUAACAAAGCUGUAAUAAGGCGAUAUUUAGUGUAAUUAACACUUAGGGCUAUUCUCCUAAAACAUAUAACCACCGGGUUUGGCAGAUUUUUAAUAAUAUAUGGUUGGGCUUUUUUGCUAAUUUGCACCCCAAAAGGCACAUUUGCUUUUGUAUGGGGUUGGCAUAAAAACUUAAUAAAUGCCUUCCCUCCAGUGGUUAUAUUUUUAAAUGGACAAAAUAUCAAACUGGUAUGUACCUUAUCAACAUUUUUAGCUGGACUAUUUGAAUAAUAAGGAGGGUUAUACCACUCGCCUCAGCAUCUGCUUUGGCUUUAGCGUCCGGUUAAAGUUUAAGACCAAGUUGGGAUUUUCACUCAUAGGGAUUUUCACUCAUAACUGCAAAACCCUUCAUUAAAGUCACUUAAUACUCAAUACAGUUGUUCAGGGUCAUUACAUAAUGAGGUUAAUACUUCAAUAGCCUUCAUUCAAUGGACUUAAUACCUUGCACAAUUAAUGAUGAACAUCUUACAAUAAGGUGACAUAACUCCAUUUUAACUAAAUACAAAUUAUUGCCCUUUUUUCAUUUUUAUUUCUUAUGUCAGGCACAUUUAUAUAUUCUUAACAGGGUUUUUGAAAGCUAAUUGUUUGGGCGGGCUGGUGGAAGGGUCUUCAAAGUCACCUUAUGUGUAAAAUAAUUUUAGCUAGGUUUGACAUAUAGUGACCAAACUUCGUAUGUAGGAAGCCUUUAUGAAGACCUUUCAUGAGAUUGCGUUUUAGGCUUCUGGGAUCAAUAUAAAGGUCAAAGUUACUAUUAAAAGCAAAAGAACUGGUAUUGAUUAACUUAAAGGUCGACAUAUUGUGACCAAACUUGGUUUAUAUGAAAGUUCAUACAGACUUUUUAUGCCCCCGAAGGUGGGCAUAUUAAAAUUGCACCGUCCGUCCGUCCGGCUCUGUAACUUUCCCUUGUAUGGACAGAUUUUAAAAUAACUUGCCAAAUGUGUUCCACAUACCAAGACGACGUGUGGCGUGCAAGACCCGUGUCCCUACCUCAAAGGUCAAGGUCACACUUAGUGUUUAUUCACAAUGGAGUGCUGCAUAUAAGGACAUAGAGUAUAGGUUGUCGUGUCCGGGCUGUAACUUUCUCUUGUAUGGACAGAUUUUAAAAUAACUUGCCACAUGUGUACCACAUACCAAGACGACGUGUCGCGUGCAAAACCCGUGUCCCUACCUCAAAGGACAAGGUCACACUUAGUGUUUAUUCACCAUAGAGUGCUGCAUAUAAGCAUAGAGUAUAGGUUGUCGUGUCCGGGCUGUAACUUUCCCUUGUAUGGACAGAUUUUAAAAUAACUUGCCACAUGUGUACCACAUACCAAGACGACGUGUCGCGUGCAAAACCCGUGUCCCUACCUCAAAGGACAAGGUCACACUUAGUGUUUAUUCACCAUAGAGUGCUGCAUAUAAGCAUAGAGUAUAGGUUGUCGUGUCCGGGCUGUAACUUUCCCUUGUAUGGACAGAUUUUAAAAUAACUUGCCACAUGUGUACCACAUACCAAGACGACGUGUCGCGUGCAAGACCCGUGUCCCUACCUCAAAGGUCAAGGUCACACUUAGUGUUUAUUCACAAUGGAGUGCUGCAUAUAAGGACAUAGAGUAUAGGUUGUUGUGUCCGGGCUGUAACUUUCCCUUGUAUGGAUAGAUUUUAAAAUAACUUGCCAAAUGUGUUCCACAUACCAAGACGACGUGUCGCGUGCAAAACCCGUGUCCCUACCUCAAAGGUCAAGGUCACACUUAGUGUUUAUUCACAAUGGAGUGCUGCAUAUAAG